rnacentral:rRNA from 1 species
GAUGAACGCUGGCGGCGUGCCUAACACAUGCAAGUCGAGCGAACAGACCAGGAGCUUGCUCCUCUGACGUUAUCGGCGGACGGGUGAGUAACACGUGGAUAACCUACCUAUAAGACUGGGAUAACUUCGGGAAACCGGAGCUAAUACCGGAUAAUAUAUUGAACCGCAUGGUUCAAUAGUGAAAGACGGUUUUGCUGUCACUUAUAGAUUGAUCCGCGUCGAAUUCGCUAGUUGGUAAGGUAGCGGCUUACCAAGGCGGCGAUGGGUAGCCGACCUGAGCGGGUGGUCGGCCACACGGGAUCUGAGACACGGCAGAGACUCCGGCGGGGGGCAGCAGCAGGGAAUCUUACGGGAGGGAGGAGAGCCGGACGGAGGAACACGGCGGGAGGGAUGAAGGUGUUCGGAUCGGAGAGCUAUGUUGUUAGGAGAGUACAAAUGUGUAAGUAACUGGGCACGUCAUGACAGUACCUAGUCAGAAAGCCACGGCUAACUACGUG